AUGAUCCUACGGUUCCUGGGAGGACGCGAAGAGUGCAGAACGCUGACUGCCAGCCCGGGAAAGUCCCCGACGUGCGGUCCUCAUCCCUGGACAGGCGGCGUCCACACUCCUCAGCAGCGCGGGGCGCCCGGGGCUCUGAUGCUCCAAACCCAGCAGCGGCUGCUGCAGCUUCUGGGAGGCGGAGAGUGUCUGCCGGGAGGAUGCCGCACCCGGGCGCUUAGUUCUGCAACUGGAAACCCCAUGGCCUCUUUAAAGCCCGAGCGCGAGCGCGUGGUGUCCUGGGGGCGGCGGGGCCGAGCAAGGCCGAGUCCCUGUGGUCCGGGCUGGGUGCGGCGGCCCUGGCGGCGGGCAUGGGCACCAGGCGUGGCGUGGAGCUGCUGGCCGGGCGCGCAGAGGCCGCAGGGCCCGGCGCUCGGUGGGGCAGCGAGGGCUGCUAGUCGGACAGUGGGCGCCACGCGCGGCUCAGACGGCGCAGGGAGGGCAGGCCCGGCAGGGGGGCGGCAGGUGAGCCGCCGUAGGGAGGUCCGCGGUGCCCGGGGGCUGGCGGGAGACGGGGCCCCAGGGGUGGACGGCGCACCAGGCGCAGAGAGCCAAGUCUGGAGCUUCGGGGCUGCGCCGCGGAGCGAGCUCUUCACUGCCCGGUUCCCGCUCAGUGGUCGUGUCUCCGCCCCCAUCCACCAGGUCCGCUGCGUUCUCAGCCGGGCCCUAGGCGCCAGGGCUCCCCGCGGGAGGAAGCAGAAGGCUGAGGCCACGGUGGUCGCCAUGACCGAGAAGCGAGAGAAGCUGGCUAAUGGUAGGGAGGGAGUGGAGGAGGCGAUUAUUGUUAUUGAGCAUUGCACUAGCUGAGGCCUGGAGGCCCCACAACUUCCAGUUAAGGUGAACCCAGCCAAGCCCCCUCAGGGGCAGCUUCGAGGUGACGCUGCUGCGCCCGGAGGGCAGAAGUGCGGGGCUCUGGACUGGGAUUAAGAAGGGGUCCCCGCGCAAACUCAAAUUCCCUGAGCCUCAAGAGGUGGUGGAAGAGUUGAAGAAGCACCUCCGUAGUGAGAUUUGGGCAGAAGUCCUCAUGCUGAGCUCUGUGUCCCUGGUGACGUUGGAACAUUAAUGAUGGAACAUGGCCAAACUUCACUCAUGCGCCUGAAGCCACGGUUUCUUCCCUGCCGGAAAUGAAGGUUCAGUUGUGAGACAACCCUCUAGUAAGGCAUUGCUAAAGUUACUGGAUUUGGUUUAAUAAAAGUUGAAAUAAAGU